rnacentral:rRNA from 1 species
CAGUAGCCACGGUAAUACGAAGGGUGCAAGCGUUACUCGGAAUUACUGGGCGUAAAGCGUGCGUAGGCGGUUCGUUAAGUCCGAUGUGAAAGCCCUGGGCUCAACCUGGGAACUGCAUUGGAAACUGGCGGGCUGGAGUGCGGUAGAGGGUGGCGGAAUUCCCGGUGUAGCAGUGAAAUGCGUAGAUAUCGGGAGGAACACCCGUGGCGAAGGCGGCCACCCGGACCAGCACUGACGCUGAGGCACGAAAGCGUGGGGAGCAAACAGGAUUAGAUACCCCGGUAGUCUCUGUCUCUUAUAC